GACGAACGCUGGCGGCGUGCUUAACACAUGCAAGUCGAGCGGUAAGGCCCUUUCGGGGGUACACGAGCGGCGAACGGGUGAGUAACACGUGGGUGACCUGCCCUCAGCUCUGGGAUAAGCCCGGGGAAACUGGGUCUAAUACCGGAUAUGACUCCAUGACGCAUGUUGUGGGGUGGAAAGCCUUGUGCGGCUGAGGAUGGGCCCGCGGCCUAUCAGCUUGUUGGUGGGGUGAUGGCCUACCAAGGCGACGACGGGUAGCCGGCCUGAGAGGGCACCGGCCACACUGGGACUGAGAUACGGCCCAGACUCCUACGGGAGGCAGCAGUGGGGAAUCUUGCGCAAUGGGCGAAAGCCU
rnacentral:rRNA from 1 species